GUCAGGUUGGCCGAGCGGUCGAAGGCGCCAGACUAUAGUUCUGGUCCACAGUUGUGGGCGUGGGUUCGAAUCCCACACCUGACA
rnacentral:tRNA from 1 species